rnacentral:lncRNA from 1 species
CCUUAUAUAAGAUGGUAUAGUCUUUGCAUAUGACCUAUGCAUAUUCUCCCAUAUACUUUAAAUCAUCUCAAGAUUACUUAUAAUACUUAAUACAAUGUAAAUGCUAUAUAAAUAAUUGUUAUAUUGUGUUGUUUAGAGAAUAAUGACAAGGAAAAAUCUCUGUACAUGUUCAGUGCAGAUGCAACCAUCCUUUUAGGGGGAAUUUUUUUUUCUUAUCUUUUUCUAUAAUGAUGUUGACAUCAUAUUUUUGGAAUAUUUUCCAUCCGUGGUCAGUUGAAUCCACAAAUGCAGAACCUGAACAUAUAUAUGGAGGACCAAUUAGCUCCCAUUUUAUUUAUCUUUAUUUUUAUUUAUUUUUUAUUAUUUUAUUUAUUUAUUUAUUUAUUUUGAUUCAGAGUCUCACUCUGUCGCCCAGGCUGGGCUGCAGUGGCGCGAUCUUGGCUCACUGCAAGCUCCACCUCCCAGGUUCACGCCAUUCUCCUGCCUCAGCCUCCCGAGUAGCUGGGACUACAAGCGCCCACCACCACACCUGGCUAAUUUUUCUUUGUAUUUUUAGUAGAGACGGGGUUUCACCGUGUUAGCCAGGAUGGUCUCAAUCUCCUGACCUCAUGAUCCGCCUGCCUCGGCCUCCCAAAGUGCUGGGAUUACAGGCGUGAGCCACCGCACCUGGCCGCUAGCCUGGCCUAUUUUUUAUUUUUAUUUAUAUAUUUUGUGAGACAGGGUCUCACUGUCACCCAGGCUGGAGUGCAAUGAUGCUAUCAUAUCUCAUCUCAGCCAUGAACUCCUGGGUUCAAAGGAUUCUCACGCCUCAGCCGUUCAAAUAGCUAGGACUAAAGGCAUGCACUACUACGCCCAGCUGUCUCCCAUUUUAUUUACCUAGGAGGAAACUAAGGAACAGAGAGGUCAAGCAGCUUGCCCAAGGUCACAGAGCCAGCAAGGAUUUUGAAUUUCAUCCAAAUGUAAUGGGUUGUCACCAAAGGA